CAAGGGGACGCAAAGGCAAAGCAACCCUCCAAAAUAAAAUUUCUUCUAUCUUUUGCACUGAGUGCCAGGGUACUGGUGUGGCCAUCCAAGGAGAAGAGCUUGAAAAACCAACAAUUCCCUUGUCUGAGAUGUUCCUAUAUAAACUGAAAGCAAUCGAAGCUAACAAGGCAUGGAUGAAGCAUCCUGAAAUUCUUCAGAAAUGCUCCACUGGACUUCAUUUCCCAUAUGAGCGUGUCAGCAAUUGUGAGGAAAACGUGAAGCCUCUAAAGCUGCUGCAUUUCUUUCGGGUUGAUGGGUAGGAGAAAGCUCAAUAUACACCAGACUCGGUGAAUCAAUUCACUUGUAAAUAUCGUUAAAUCCCUUGUACUAGUUUCCUGUAAUUUGGUUACGCCGGUAGAAAUUA